CAGGUUAGUGCUUGUGUCAAGAUGGUGGCUAGCAGGGGGCUACUGCUUAACCAGUGUCGCCGCAGUUGCUUGAUGGGAAGGAGGAAGAGAAAUGUCUGAGUUUUCCAUGCAAAAGUUGGAGUCUAUUAUGUAAUGAUUUAUAAACGUUAAGAUGCCUUUUUUAAUACGACAACCCCAUCGUGUAUCAAUUGAAAGAGCCUGAUUUUCUUCUAUCUAGAUUCUAGAGGGACAGCUAAAAGCCCACCUAAUUUUGGAUGAUCCUGCUGGGAACAGCUACCUACAGAAUGUAUAUGCUCCUGAGCAGGAUCCAGAGAUGACCAUAGAAAGCUAUGAGAGGACAUUUGAACAGAAUGAAGACCUGGGGCUUAAUGACAUGAAAACAGAGGGAUAUGAUCAGAAUGAAUGUUAAGUACACCUCUUGGGACUCGGACAUCAUGUCCAAGGAACACCAAACCAGAAGAACGUCUGAGGUUUCUCUUGUUGGUUUCAAUGAGUUCUCAGCUGAAUUGACUACAAAUGUGACCUGGUUAGCAUGGGAUAUCUUGGAAAAGGAAAGGACUUGGCACCUCUGCAGAGUGUCACACAAAGUAUAAUUCUGCAAGUGUGUCCCGUUCUUAAUAGUUGUGCUAAAAAUGACUGUUCUUUAAAGAGCAACCUGAGCGUUGGAAAGGCUUUUCUGAAAACCUGCACAGUCAAGUGAGUUUUGAAGACCUGACUAGGGACCGCAGCUUUAUAGCUCAUUUUGAGAAGGCCAUCAUGGGCCAUUUUUUAUGUUAACACAAUUUGUUCUGAAUGUUCUUCAGUGUAAAACAAAUCUGUUAUACACAGGCAAGGAAAACACCUUCCCUAUUUUGGUAUAUAGAUGCUGCAGUGAAAAUAUAGCGCAUGUGUACGCUCAAGACAGCAGAUCACACCUGAAUCUCUAGAACAUUGGAACUUUCUCUAUACUUUGGCAGAAUGGUAAAUGUUAAACUGCAGUAGACGAUAGAAAAGCCAAGUAUUUUCAAUUGUAUUUUCUUAUUCAAAUUUAUGAAUGUGUGUUUUAUUUAUAAUGUUGCUAUCUCAGGAACAUUUAUCUGCUAUGCUUAAGACUGUUGCAUGCAGACUUUCUGCCUAAAAUAAUUAAAAAUAAAUCCGUAAUAUGUCUGACAUUGCAGAGGUGAUAUGCAAUGUGUCCAGCAGUAAUCCUGGUUUGGCUUGGUGGGGUUAUGUUAGGACAGGAACGCUAUAAAUGUUAGCUGUAGUAUUCUUGUUUUUUCUUUUCAUACCUGUCCAAAUAAAAUGCAGAUCUUACCUAA